rnacentral:rRNA from 1 species
CCUACGGGAGGCAGCAGUGGGGAAUAUUGCGCAAUGGGGGAAACCCUGACGCAGCAACGCCGCGUGAGUGAGGAAGGACUUCGGUCUGUAAAGCUCUGUUAAUGUGGAAAAAUGGUAGUUGGUCUAAUAGGCCGAUUAUUUGAUGGUACACAUAGAGGAAGCACCGGCUAACUUCGUGCCAGCAGCCGCGGUAAUACGAAGGGUGCAAGCGUUGUUCGGAUUUAUUGGGCGUAAAGCGCGCGUAGGCGGACCUGCAAGUCAGAUGUGAAAUCUCGGGGCUCAACCUCGAAACUGCGUCUGAAACUACAGGUCUAGAAUCUUGGAGGGGGAAGGGGAAUUUCUCAUGUAGGGGUAAAAUCCGUAGAUAUGAGAAGGAACACCAGAGGCGAAGGCGCCUUCCUGGACAAGUAUUGACGCUGAGGCGCGAAAGCGUGGGGAUCAAACAGGAUUAGAUACCCUGGUAGUCCACGCUGUAAACGAUGAAUACUAGAUAUUGCAGGAUUUGACCCCAGCAGUGUCGUAGCUAACGCGUUAAGUAUUCCGCCUGGGAAGUACGGUCGCAAGCUAAACUCAAAUGAUGAGNGNGAGAGNGCGACGACGACGACGAGGGAGGAGG